rnacentral:tRNA from 1 species
GCCUGGGUCGCUCAGUUGGUUAAGCGUCUGACUUCGGCUCAGGUCAUGAUCCCAUGGUUUGUGGGUUCGAGCCCUGUGCCGGGCU